rnacentral:rRNA from 1 species
UUAAUAAAUGUAAAUAGAUUUAUUUUGGGUAGUAUCAGUUAUGUUCUAAAAACUUAAAGAUUUUGGCGGUAUUUUAUGUCUAUAUAGAGGAAUAUGUUUUUAAAUCGAUAUUACCCGAUUAUCUUACUUAAUAGAAAAGUUAUGUAUAUUUCUGUUUAAAAUUUUUUUGUAGAAAAUUUUUUUAAAUUUUUUAGGAUUAUAUUUCAGGUCAAAAUGCAGAUUAUUAUUAAGGGAAAAUGUAUUACAAUAAUGUUAUUUUGGAUUUUUUAUUGAAAUAUAUUAAUGAAAUUGGAUUUAUUUGUAAUUUUAAAUAUUAUAUUAUUAUGAUUUUAGAUUNAAAAUAUGUA